GGGGAAUAUUGCGCAAUGGGGGAAACCCUGACGCAGCAACGCCGCGUGAGUGAAGAAGGCCUUAGGGUUGUAAAGCUCUGUCAUAUGGGAAGAUAAUGACGGUACCAUAAGAGGAAGCCACGGCUAACUACGUGCCAGCAGCCGCGGUAAUACGUAGGUGGCGAGCGUUGUCCGGAUUUACUGGACGUAAGGGAUGCGUAGGCGGAUAUUUAAGUGGGAUGUGAAAUCCCCGAGCUUAACUCGGGGGCUGCAUUCCAAACUGGAUAUCUAGAGUGUCGGAGGGGAAAGUGGAAUUCCUAGUGUAGCGGUGAAAUGCGUAGAGGUUAGGAAGAACACCAGUGGCGAAGGCGACUUUCUGGACGAUAACUGACGCUGAGGCAUGAAAGCGUGGGGAGCAAAC
rnacentral:rRNA from 1 species